rnacentral:rRNA from 1 species
AACGAGCGCUGGCGGCAGGCUAAACACAUGCAAGUCGAGCGAAUCUUCUUCGGAAGAUGAGUGGCGAACGGGUGAGUAAUACAUAGGUAACCUGCCCCUGUGCGGGGGAUAACAGGAGGAAACUCCUGCUAAUACCGCAUAGCCAUGAGCACCGCAUGGAGCUCAUGCCAAAUAUCCUUCAGGGGAUAGCGCAGGGGUGGACCUAUGGCGCAUUAGCUAGUUGGCGGGGCAACGGCCCACCAAGGCAACGAUGCGUAGCCGGCCUGAGAGGGCGGACGGCCACAUUGGGACUGAGACACGGCCCAGACUCCUACGGGAGGCAGCAGUAGGGAAUUGUCGGCAAUGGGGGAAACCCUGACCGAGCAACGCCGCGUGAGCGAAGAAGGCCUUCGGGUCGUAAAGCUCUGUUGUAAAGGAAGAACGUCGCAUGCAGGAAAUGGUGUGCGAGUGACGGUACUUUACCAGAAAGCCACGGCUAACUACGUGCCAGCAGCCGCAGUAACAC